rnacentral:lncRNA from 1 species
AUGCCAGCCAGAUUCCCCGUAUCUCCCCCGCUCCCUCCCCCCACCCCUACCGAGGCUGGCCUGGAAACACAGCAGCCAGUGACCACAGAGCUGGACAGAAAAGAACCCGUGGCCAGUAUCCUGGGAUCUGACAUGAGCCAUUAGGAAUUUCUUAAGCAACCGCCGACUGGGAAAGGCAACUACCAGUGCUGAAAAAGUAUGUUAAAACUCAUUUUUUUUUUUUACAGUAAAAGUCCCAAAGAUAGACAAAGACGCUGAGUUGACUCAUCGCCCUCAAAUAGAGGAGUCAUCUUGAUGGUGACAUUCAUCCUGACGUCCUGACGG